AUACAGAGGGUGCAAGCGUUAAUCGGAAUUACUGGGCGUAAAGCGCGCGUAGGCGGUUUGUUAAGUUGGAUGUGAAAGCCCCGGGCUUAACCUGGGAGGGUCAUUCAAAACUGGCAGACUAGAGUGUGGUAGAGGGUAGUGGAAUUCCUAGUGUAGCGGUGAAAUGCGUAGAGAUUAGGAGGAACACCAGUGGCGAAGGCGACUGCCUGGACCAACACUGACGCUGAGGUGCGAAAGCGUGGGUAGCGAACAGGAUUAGAUACCCGGGUAGUCC
rnacentral:rRNA from 1 species